rnacentral:ncRNA from 1 species
UUAAAGAUGUGGAAGCAGAAAAAGAUUGUUUGCUUGCUUCAGAGAGUCGAUGGUUGGUGUGAAUCGGCGGAUGGCAAAUGAUGUAUAGCUCUCUGUGGAGUCGACGACCUGAAUAGAAAUCAAUAGGGUUGUCCGAGUAGCUUCGUUAUAGGCUGAGGCAUUGUUUGAUGCUAAAGGGCAGUUUUUCACUGCUGAAAUAGGGUGGUACCGCGUAUUUUACGCCCCUAUA